GAUUGACCUNGGAUCAGGUAGGGAUACCCGNUGAACUUAAGCAUAUAUAG
rnacentral:rRNA from 1 species